rnacentral:rRNA from 1 species
UAACUGAGCUAGCGGCGGACGGGUGAGUAAGUGCUUAGGAAUCUGCCUAUUAGUGGGGGACAACAUUCCGAAAGGAAUGCUAAUACCGCAUACGCCCUACGGGGGAAAGCAGGGGAUCUUCGGACCUUGCGCUAAUAGAUGAGCCUAAGUCAGAUUAGCUAGUUGGUGGGGUAAGGGCCUACCAAGGCGACGAUCUGUAGCGGGUCUGAGAGGAUGAUCCGCCACACUGGGACUGAGACACGGCCCAGACUCCUACGGGAGGCAGCAGUGGGGAAUAUUGGACAAUGGGCGCAAGCCUGAUCCAGCCAUGCCGCGUGUGUGAAGAAGGCCUUUUGGUUGUAAAGCACUUUAAGCGAGGAGGAGGCUACUUGGAUUAAUACUCUAGGAUAGUGGACGUUACUCGCAGAAUAAGCACCGGCUAACUCUGUGCCAGCAGCCGCGGUAAUACAGAGGGUGCGAGCGUUAAUCGGAUUUACUGGGCGUAAAGCGUGCGUAGGCGGCUUCUUAAGUCGGAUGUGAAAUCCCUGAGCUUAACUUAGGAAUUGCAUUCGAUACUGGGAAGCUAGAGUAUGGGAGAGGAUGGUAGAAUUCCAGGUGUAGCGGUGAAAUGCGUAGAGAUCUGGAGGAUACCGAUGGCGAAGGCAGCCAUCUGGCCUAAUACUGAC